rnacentral:rRNA from 1 species
AAUUGAUAAGGUUACUUAGUGGCGGACGGGUGAGUAACGCGUGAGGAACCUGCCUUGGAGUGGGGAAUAACACAGUGAAAAUUGUGCUAAUACCGCAUAAUGCAGUUGGGUCGCAUGACUCUGACUGCCAAAGAUUUAUCGCUCUGAGAUGGCCUCGCGUCUGAUUAGCUAGUUGGUGGGGUAACGGCCCACCAAGGCGACGAUCAGUAGCCGGACUGAGAGGUUGGCCGGCCACAUUGGGACUGAGACACGGCCCAGACUCC